AUUGAACGCUGGCGGAAUGCUUUACACAUGCAAGUCGAACGGUAGAGGGGGCAACCCCUUGAGAGUGGCGAACGGGUGAGUAAUAUAUCGGAACGUGCCCAGUCGUGGGGAUAACGUAGCGAAAGUUACGCUAAUACCGCAUACGAUCUACGGAUGAAAGCGGGGGACUCGCAAGAGCCUCGCGCGAUUGGAGCGGCCGAUAUCAGAUUAGGUAGUUGGUGGGGUAAAGGCUCACCAAGCCAACGAUCUGUAGCUGGUCUGAGAGGACGACCAGCCACACUGGAACUGAGACACGGCCCAGACUCCUACGGGAGGCAGCAGUGGGGAAUUUUGGACAAUGGGCGCAAGCCUGAUCCAGCAAUGCCGCGUGCAGGAUGAAGGCCUUCGGUUGGUUAACUAGUC
rnacentral:rRNA from 1 species